UACGUAGGGACCAAGCGUUGUUCGGAUUUACUGGGCGUAAAGGGCGCGUAGGCGGCGCGGUAAGUCACUUGUGAAAUCUCUGAGCUUAACUCAGAACGGCCAAGUGAUACUGCAGUGCUAGAGUGUGGAAGGGGCAAUCGGAAUUCUUGGUGUAGCGGUGAAAUGCGUAGAUAUCAAGAGGAACACCUGAGGUGAAGACGGGUUGCUGGGCCGACACUGACGCUGAGGCGCGAAAGCCAGGGGAGCGAACGGG
rnacentral:rRNA from 1 species